AUACGUAGGUGACAAGCGUUAUCCGGAUUUACUGGGCGUAAAGGGCGUGCAGGCGGUCUUGCAAGUCAGAAGUGAAAUUCCUGAGCUCAACUCGGGCGCUGCUUCUGAAACUGCAGGACUUGAGUGCUGGAGGGGAUAGCGGAAUUCCUAGUGGAGCGGUAAAAUGCGAAGAUAUUAGGAAGAACACCGGUGGCGAAGGCGGCUAUCUGGACAGUAACUGACGCUGAGGCGCGAAAGCGUGGGGAGCAAACAGGAUUAGAUCCCCUGGUAGUCCACGCCGUAAACGAUGAAUACUAGGUGUAGGGGGUAUCGACUCCCUCUGUGCCGCAGUUAACACAAUAAGUAUUCCGCCUGGGGAGUACGGCCGCAAGGUUGAAACUCAAAUGAAUUGACGGGG
rnacentral:rRNA from 1 species